GACGAACGCUGGCGGCGUGCUUAACACAUGCAAGUCGAACGGUGAAGCGCCUUCCUUUUUGGUGGGUGUGGAUGAGUGGCGAACGGGUGAGUAACACGUGAGUAACCUGCCCCCUUCUUCUGGAUACCGCAUGAAAGUGUGGCUAAUACGGGAUAUUCUGGGUCUGUCGCAUGAUGGGUCUGGGAAAGAUAUUGUUUCGGUGGGGGAUGGGCUCGCGGCCUAUCAGCUUGUUGGUGGGGUGAUGGCCUACCAAGGCGGUGACGGGUAGCCGGCCUGAGAGGAUGGACGGUCACACUGGGACUGAGACACGGCCAAGAAGCCUACGGGAGGCAGCAGUGGCGAAUAUUGCACAAUGGGCGCAAGACUGAUGCAGCGACGCCGCGUGAGGGAUGGAGGCCUUCGGGUUGUGAACAUCUUUCGCCAGUGAAGCAGGCCUGCCUCGUUUGUGGGUGGGUUGACGGUAGCUGGAUAAGAAGCGCCGGCUAACUACGUG
rnacentral:rRNA from 1 species